GCAUCGGUGGUGUAGUGGUAGAGCACGCAUCCUAGGUAUGGAUGAAACGCGGAUUCGAUUGCCACCUAAGGCC